CUGUGGAUGUAAUCAAGGUUUAUGAAACUGAAAAUCAUGUUGUCAUCAAAAGUUUAAGUCAAAAUGUUAAAGACUAAUUUUCAAGACGUUGUCCUGUAGAAGUGCCAAACAAGAAAGAUUACUGAUAGCAUUCAAAGGUUUUUAGAAAGAAGUUUUUUUUAAGGGAAAAUAUUUGAAUUCUUUGAGGAGCAUUUCAAUAAAAAGAUGAGGAAGCAAUUAUAGAAUCUGAUUUUAAGGAAAGAGAAGGAAAGCCUGAAGUACAAGGACUGCUUCAAAAACGACAGCAGAGGGACAGUCUGACAAAAUGGUAUCUGAUGUGGAAGUGCAUAUGGAGCAAAGGUGUAGAAUUAAAUUCCUUCAAGUGGAAAAAAAUUGCGCCCAUUGACACUGCUGAACAUUGGUGGAGACCUAACAUUUCCCUGGAGAAAAAAAAAAAAAUAGGAGGCUUUACUUUUGGAGCUACCUACA
ensembl:lncRNA